AGACGGUAAUUGAGGAGGAAGCCCCGGCUAACUACGUGCCAGCAGCCGCGGUAAUACGUAGGGGGCAAGCGUUGUCCGGAAUGAUUGGGCGUAAAGGGCGCGUAGGCGGCCCGUUAAGUCUGGAGUGAAAGUCCUGCUUUUAAGGUGGGAAUUGCUUUGGAUACUGAUGGGCUUGAGUGCAGGAGAGGUAAGUGGAAUUCCCAGUGUAGCGGUGAAAUGCGUAGAGAUUGGGAGGAACACCAGUGGCGAAGGCGACUUACUGGACUGUAACUGACGCUGAGGCGCGAAAGUGUGGGGAGCAAACAGGAUUAGAUACCCUG
rnacentral:rRNA from 1 species